ACGAUGAAGCAAAGAAAAGCGUAGAUUAAAAAAGAAAAAAAAAGAAAAGGUAUGUAUGCAUGUGUUUCU
rnacentral:ribozyme from 1 species